GUGGAUAAUUUUUCCUGGCUUUGUCGAUUAAAGUCCUAAUUCACGGGAUAAGAAGCUAUUAUUCCACAUCACAGUUGACAAGCAUUGACAUUAUAACUAUCGCCUAGAGGUGCAGAUUAGACAGGGAAGAUUUUGAAAUGUUUACAAACUGAAUGUCUGUUGCUCUGUUUUUCCAAGCAAACAGCAAGGAUCAAGUUUGCCACCUAAAAUCAAAUUCUAUAAAUCCAG
rnacentral:lncRNA from 1 species